CUUCGAAAAAGUUGGCACGAGGUCUGCAAUAACUCAUUCGACAGUACAUAAAGGCGGCGCCCUCAACGUAGAAGGCACUGCCUCCCGAUCGAUCGGGACAAGGACAAAGGCGUCCUCGCUAGAGCACUAGCGGGACGCC
rfam:Pseudomonas alcaligenes NBRC 14159 DNA, contig: PA6009.